CACAGAGCCUCAUUCCUUAUCCAUCCUCUUGACUUAAAUUCCUUCCCCUGUUUGGGCUCCACAUCCAUGACUGUCAUAGUUGAGAUGGAGACAAUACAAAGAAACAUUCCAUUUUCAGAAGGGUUCAAACUGGUUUUAUUCCAACAUGCAUACCUUUUAUACAUUCUUACUAAACUCAUAAGUUUGCACUCUACUCAUUGGUCAGGAAAGACAAAGUGCUCAUUGGAACAGGCAGUUGCAGAAGUCACUGUAAAAGCUCUUCCACCCUGCCCCUCUGAAGUCAGGCUCCUGUGCAAGGUGCUUCCAACGAGGGAGACACAGACUGGUGUCUUCCAGCCACGGGAUCUUUUCACACGGGUGGAAAUGAACAUGUCACCAUCAUCACCAUUUUGGAGCCAGGAUGGUAAAAAUUUGGGGGUUUGACAUUAUCUCCUACCUCUCCCCUUUGAGUGUGGAGCCUUCCUUGACCAUUUCAAGCCUGUCCUGAUGCACUGAGGAGCUGAAGCCCUGCAAUUUGAACCCCAGAGUCCCCUGAAAAGAGAAGCCCACCCAUGUGAUGGAUUAAACUUUUUCCUUGUAAAUGAAGAUAUAGUCCCUUGGACAGAUAAUUUUCUGACAAAAUGGAUUGAACCAUCUUUCUGUUAUAUUUAGCCUCA